rnacentral:lncRNA from 1 species
GAAAGUUUUUGGCAAAAUGGAAGAAUAGAAGGAAGGGGGAUGGGCAGGAGAGAGGGAGACAGGAUUAAAAGCAAAGGGGAGGAGAGAGAAUGGAUCAUAACAUAUUUUAUCUUUCUGUGUAUGCACUUCUACACAAGACAUUAGAGGUGAUUUACAAAAGGUGUAAAUGACAAAAUAGUAAAUCAUACAAAAUAUAUUAGCAGUAAGAAGAACGUAAACCAGAAUAGGAGGUAUAGCGAGGAAGAAUCAUGGAUAAACACAGACAAGGACUUACACAAGGGGUACAAUGGAGACAAAAUGCAAAAAGUUAUGGAGAAAAAGUGGGACUGCACUUCCUCUGAUCCAUCCUCCAUGACCUCUCUUCUUCCACACUGGACUUCAGACCAAAGGGCUUAGUCUGCCCUCACUUGGACUUAACUUUUCCUCAAGAGCACCCAAUUGGUAAAGGUUUGUCCAAGAUGAAAUGGUUGUAGAUGUGUGGUCUUAUGAAAUUGGGUUUUCAAAGGCACUCACUGAGCAGACAUUUUCCAGAAUAACAUAUAUAUAGGAGAUUCUUAAUAAAUACAACAGGCACAGACCUCAUCAAAGCACAUCUUGGAAAUAAAGCCCUUGGGAAUGGAACAUUUUGCUUACUGUGCUCUUAAUACAGCAUGGUGAAUCAGGUUGACACCAUUCAAUGCUGCUGUUGCUCUCUAGGUAAGACUGGAAGACUUAUGUCCAUUUCUCUCUCAUUUCCAUUUCUACUCUACUCUUCACUGUGUUGUCAUAUAGAGGCAAAAC